GGGGCGGUAAGCUUUGUAUGUUGAACUUAGGGCUUUUCCAUUAUAGAUAGUAGAUAAAUGGUAGGUAAAUGGAGAUUAUUCAUAUUGAAAAAUCACUGUUAGUCUAGGAGUACACAAUUUGACUAUAUUUUACCAAUAUAUUUCCAAAUGUGAAGGAGUCUGCGAUGCUCGACCAAUUUGAAACUGGGCCACCUACCAAUAUCCAUUAUCCAUUUCUCAAUUCACAAAUUUAUUAAAAUUUAUGGGUUGAGCAGAAGGAUGAAGGACAAACUUCAAAGUCCCCUGAUUCUAGGGU
rnacentral:lncRNA from 1 species